UUAAUGAAAUAAUCAUAAAUAGUCAAAUUUAUACGGAUUAGAUAUAGUGUCUAACUAUUCUUCAACUUGCAAUUAUUUACGAGUUUCGUCAUUGUGCUUAAUCAACACAAGAUUCCACAAUUUUUUUCGAACGAUAAACAUUAAUUUGUGACGAUUAAUGAAAGCUAACAUAUUCUAAAGGUUUGAAUGGUGUUGGGGAUUUUUCUACCAAGUACAUAAAAAAAAUAGAAGAGAAAAGAUUAAUAUAAACUCCAUGACUUGAAUGGAUCCCCAUUACUAGUUUACUACUUGGUUGAGAAUUUGAGCACCUUCUUAGCCAGCUUAGUAACUUUCGGUUCCUUCUUUACAUCCUUCUUCGAGAUAAUGGCUUGUUCUUUGGCGACAAAUGCUCCGCUCUUAGCGAACAUCUCCUCGUCCAUGCCCCAAUCUCCGUAAUAGGAAUUUAAUCCCGAAAUUUGCACUUUUUUUUGGCUCUUUAUGCUUUCUUUUUCCUUCGAGAAACUCCAAAGCGAACAUGUCACUCUCGCGGAUGGAGGAGACUCCAUGACAGAAAUUCUUGUGAACUCAAAAGAAAAAAGAUUAAAG
rnacentral:lncRNA from 1 species